UGGGGAAUAUUGGGCAAUGGGCGGAAGCCUGACCCAGCGACGCCGCGUGAGGGAAGAAGGCCUUUGGGUCGUAAACCUCUGUUGUAUGGGAAGAAGGAAGUGACGGUACCAUACGAGGAAGUCCCGGCUAACUACGUG
rnacentral:rRNA from 1 species